UGUUGCGGUUUAAGUUCUUA
rnacentral:siRNA from 1 species